GGCUGCCUGGCCCAAUGGUUAAGGCGCCUGCCUACGAUUAGGGUGGCUGUAAGCAGGAGAUUCCAGGUUCGAGUCCUGGGGUGGUCG